GACGUAGGGCGCAAGCGUUGUCCGGAUUUAUUGGGCGUAAAGAGCUCGUAGGCGGCUUGUCGCGUCGACUGUGAAAACCCGCGGCUUAACUGUGGGACUGCAGUCGAUACGGGCUAGCUAGAGUUCGGUAGGGGGGACUGGAAUUCCUGGUGUAGCGGUGAAAUGCGCAGAUAUCAGGAGGAACACCGGUGGCGAAGGCGGGUCUCUGGGCAGUAACUGACGCUGAGGAGCGAAAGCGUGGGGAGCGAACAGG
rnacentral:rRNA from 1 species